UACAGAGGGUGCGAGCGUUAAUCGGAAUUACUGGGCGUAAAGGGCGCGUAGGCGGUUUAUUAAGUGAGAUGUGAAAUCCCUGGGCUUAACCUAGGAACUGCAUCUCGAACUGAUAAGCUGGAGUGCGGUAGAGGAUAGUGGAAUUUCCGGUGUAGCGGUGAAAUGCGUAGAUAUCGGAAGGAACACCAGUGGCGAAGGCGGCUAUCUGGACUGACACUGACGCUGAGGCGCGAGAGCGUGGGGAGCAAACAGG
rnacentral:rRNA from 1 species